ACUCCCCUUUAAAAUGGGCCCCAGGAAAGGCAGAAGCCCUAAGCUGUGCCCAACUGGGCAGAGGGAUCCUCUUCCUCCUCAUCACUGCUGAAGUUUUUCCUGAGUGAAGAUUGAAGAGUGCAAAACUCCAUGGAAAUAUAUCUACAGUGCCUUUGCUGAUUAUAAUGAUGUAGCAGGGAAGCCUUCAAAAUCAAGGCCGUAUUAAUAAACUACUUCUCAAGAGGUCAUAUUCUCACAAUGACCAAGAAGAUCAGCCAGAGCUGUUUUACCAAAACUCAGCUAUUUCAAAAUCACAAGACAAAAACUAUCAUCUUUCACUUUCUAAAACUGGCAAGAAUAUAACAUUUCAGCUGUGAAGUUGCUUUUCUCCCUUCAUUCCACUUUACAGCUCUGACAACCAAGAUGUUUAUAGCACUAUUAAUAUCAAACCUGCGUAUGUGGAGUGACUUGGGGUUUGUUUUGAUUCAAAUCCUGCAGAAACAAAUGUGCUGAGAGCAGGAAAAAUAAAAUUGGAAACAAGAUUAAACUUUUCAGUGUUGAGGAUAGCCAACCCUUACAAUAGUAAGUCAAAGCAUGCACUGCCCCCUGCAAUGCUAGGAAUUCUUGGUUUAAUAAUGGAUUUAUUUUUACAAGUAGUUUAAAGCACAGUCAUCUCAUUUAGCUUGAUAACAGUGGUUUACAAAUGAGGAAGGAGCAGUCCUUUUCAUCUCAGAAAUUACUUGGUGAAAAAAAUCUGGUUUCUGUUAUAAUGGCUGAUAAAAGUAAGACUAUUUACUUCUCGCCUUAAGGAGGCAAAGCAAUCCCCUCCCUUCUGAAUAAAAAGUCACAGAUAGCUGCAGCUGAAAACAGCUGCAGGUGAUUAACUGGAAAUAACUAGCAACUUUUUGGCAAUCUUAACAAGGACAUCAGGAAAGAUAAACUUCUCUUUAUCAUAUCGUUAAUGAUUGUUCCUACUGCUGUUGCUACAUACAGUUUGAAUCUCUGUGCUGAGUUUCACACUUGGCUAGACACAGAAAAACAAAUAAAGAUGUGCUCCUUGUCCUUGGGAGUUAACGAUCCAAAAAUAGCCCAAACACACACAUACGUUCAUGCCAGGUGAGAGCAUUGGUUGGUGCUGGCAGAGAACUAUUUUCUGCCAAUUCUAAACUGGAUCAAUUGAUAAUGCAGACACCUCACACUGCCUGACUGGUGGUCUGUGCGUUUCAUGACCAUUAAAAUCACAUGUGGAUGCUGUUAAUAUUUAGAAAGUGGAAGAUCAGCUUGAGUUAGAAAAUUUGUAGUGGCCUUUUGUGAAUAUUUGUCUGGAAGAUUUAUGAUAGAAAGAAAAAAAAAUCACAAGGAAUUUGGAGACCACUGCUGUGAGUUUUGCUUUGUGAUAGGAGCAUAGAAAAUAGUAAUUUUCCUUGCAUUCAGCUUCUGCUUUGGUCUUUGUGCAAAGCACUAUUAAAAGAUGCAAGAUUUUCCACUGAGAUUUUGCUCUCUUUUGGCAUCCUCUUUCUUCUUCUACUUAAAUUUUUAUUAAUCUUUUCUGUGAAU